GUGUAUUCUAUGGAGGAAGGCUAUAGGGUAUGGGGUCUGUCUCCAUCUCCGUCGAAGUUCGGUGCCGGCAGAACAUCAUCCCGCCCCCCUCCGUCCCCGUCCUCACCGGCGACUUCUAGACGUUGGAGACAGUCCAAAUUUGGUGGGGCCCCCUUGAUUGUUUGUUCUUCAUUGUUUGGCAUCAGAAUAUAAACCCUAAUUUCACCCAUCGUUCUCCCCUCUUUACAUUUUUUUAUGGAUCCAAGUGUUGCAGACGGAUGUGCAUCCAAGAAAAGAUCUGCUAAAGAAAGUGAAGAGUUUGAAGAAUUUGAAGCAAAAAAAGCAAAAAUUAGAAAUCUUGAAUCUGUUUUUCGUUCAGAAGGGUAGGAUCAUCUAGGACCAUUCUCUCAUACCCUCUAGUUUUGUGAGAUGGACCAUCCUUGGGAUGACUAUGUUGUGGCGCUUACGUGACCGAUCAUCCUCUAAGAGAGAACCAUCACCAUAUCCUCUAGCUAUGGUCAUGAACUUUUGAUGUUGAAUUCGGUGAGGGAGAUAGAGGGCGGCUGAAAAAAGGUGGGUGGAGGGAGACCAUGUGUCUCGUGCGACAUUUCUCUCACGCAAACAUUAAAUUAUUUAAGAAUACAACACGUUUAAUUAUAUAUGUUCACACUAGCUUUGGCAUACAAUCUGUUCACCUGAAUGAUUUGAUAGGCACCAUAACUUAUUGUUCACUCUUCAUUUUGUUUAUA